AACUGGGUCCCGCGCGGCGGAAACUUUCGAACCGUGUCAGGUCCUGACGGAAGCAGCACUAAGAAAGACCUUUCGGGUGACGCGGGGUCACCUGGUUUGG
rfam:Alicyclobacillus sp. TSBA-503 genome assembly, contig: Ga0105849_108